GAUGAACGCUGGCGGCGUGCCUAAUACAUGCAAGUCGAGCGAACAGACGAGGAGCUUGCUCCUCUGACGUUAGCGGCGGACGGGUGAGUAACACGUGGAUAACCUACCUAUAAGACUGGGAUAACUUCGGGAAACCGGAGCUAAUACCGGAUAAUAUAUUGAACCGCAUUGUUCAAUAGUUAAAGACGGUUUUGCUGUCACUUAUAGAUGGAUCCUCGCCGCAUUAGCUAGUUGGUAAGGUAACGGCUUACCAAGGCAACGAUGCGUAGCCGACCUGAGAGGGUGAUCGGCCACACUGGAACUGAGACACGGUCCAGACUCCUACGGGAGGCAGCAGUAGGGAAUCUUCCGCAAUGGGCGAAAGCCUGACGGAGCAACGCCGCGUGAGUGAUGAAGGUCUUCGGAUCGUAAAACUCUGUUAUUAGGGAAGAACAAAUGUGUAAGUAACUAUGCACGUCUUGACGGUACCUAAUCAGAAAGCCACGGCUAACUACGUG
rnacentral:rRNA from 1 species